rnacentral:siRNA from 1 species
UCCAACUAGAUGGAAUUGUGUC